UUGCCAUAAGCCGAUCCUGCAAUACCCAUUUUUUGUUUAUCCUUUCCUAGACACUGUCCAUCUCCACUGUCUAAGAAUCCCCUCAUUCUUUGCAUUUCAUCUGAAUUUCCCCAUCAUCUUCAUCUCGUUUCCACUAUCAUUUUUGGACCAAGUAAUUGUUGGUGGAGGGGUGGUAAGGUUUCUCGUCAAUUGUUCAACUGGAAGGUUUUACCUCGCUCUUUUGUUUCUAAGGCUGCUAGGCAAGUUCAAAUUCUAUAACUGGAGGCAAAAAGCUACCAAACAUACGUUAUCUUGAGAGUCUUGAUUUUGCAAAGAGAAGCAAAUCUAUUGAUUGGCGAGCUGCUACUGAGUCAUCAACUUGUGUAGAACAACUUGCUUUCCAGGUAUGAUUCCUGAUGGCCCUCAUGUCUUAUUUGUUAUAGGGAGUAGUAGCUAGAAAAAGUGGAGGGAAAAUAUUGAUACCAGUCUUAUUACUGUGGAUAUUGAUUGAAUUGUAAACAAACGAUAAGUUUUUGACUUGCACCUUUAUGCAGUUUUACAAUCAUUUUUUCAUUUUUGGUACCUAAUGAAAGUAUUAUGAUGAUAUGCUCAAAUUUAUGGUUUUUUUUUUUUUGGUACUUUUCUUUAUGACUAUGUUUAACAGUAGGAAAACUUGAAAGAAAAAUGUUUUAGAGUUGGUCAGAUAUAAGAUAAAACUCUUAAAAAUGGGGUAUCAUUAAUUUAGUAUACCUGUUUGAAAAAUGGCUUAUCUGUUUAACAUAUCCGAAAUAGAAAGAAUAGCUACUAUUUUAAAGAAUUAUUUGUUGUUUAUUUCAACUAAUUUGGACUAUAUAUAUGAAAACUAAUUGAUAAGAGACAAGUCUAAUGCUCAAAAUUCUGACUCAGCAUUCCAACACCACAAUUAUUUCAUCUCAAAGAAGCUUCAGCAUCAAAGCAGCUUUCAUCACACCCUAUGGGGAAGCUGAGUUUUUUUAAAAUUGAUGUUUCUUUGGAACAGAAAAUAUUCUGUGAAUAAGCACAAAUGGUUCCCAAUGCACUUCUCUUACUACGCAUACACACUGCCUAUCCACAUUUGAUCACCUUGCUUAUAGAAAGAAACCCAUUGAAAAUCAGACAUCCCCCACCUCCAUUGCCUUGCAUUUUUAUCGCUAUUAUUGUCAGUUCCCUUUGGCAGUUAGGCCUUCCAAACCUCCUUAAUAAUUUUUUUCUUUUCUGUAUUUAAGGUUUUAGAGAUUGAAUUUUAAAUAAAAAUUAAGAACUCAGUAUGUACAAACAAACCACACAUGACUGUCGGCUAACCCUCUUAAUAAUUCUAUGUUAUCAUAUUUAUCAUAAACUAAAGGAUUACCUAAUAGCUUCUCUGCUUCCAUAAGUUUUAGCAAACUUUGCAUCACUUUAG